rnacentral:rRNA from 1 species
AAUAGUAUCCGGUUCCGUGAAGGGGGCCGGGGAAAGGGAGGCCUCUGGUACAAGCUUCCGCUCCUGGAUGAGCCCAUGGCCCAUCAGCUAGUUGGUAGGGUAAAGGCCUACCAAGGCGACGACGGGUAGCUGGUCUGAGAGGACAACCAGCCACACUGGCACUGAGACACGGGCCAGACUCCUACGGGAGGCAGCAGUGAGGAAUAUUGCGCAAUGGGGGCAACCCUGACGCAGCAACGCCGCGUGUGGGAAGAAGGCUUUCGGGUUGUAAACCACUUUUGCCCGGGACGAAAGGGGGGACCUGAAUAAGGUUGCCCGAUGACGGUACCGGGAGAAUAAGCCACGGCUAACUCUGUGCCAGCAGCCGCGGUAAGACAGAGGUGGCAAGCGUUGUUCGGAGUUACUGGGCGUAAAGAGUCUGUAGGUGGUCUGUCAAGUCUUUGGUGAAAGGCCGUGGCUUAACCAUGGGGAAUGCCAAAAGAGACUGGCAGACUGGAGGCUGGGAGAGGGAAGCGGGAAUUUUCUGGUGUAGCGGUGAAAUGCCGUAGAUAUCAGAAGGAAGGCCGGUGGCGAAGGCGGCUUCCUGGAACAGACCUGACACUGAGAGACGAAAGCGUGGGGAGCAAACAGGAUUAGAUACCCUGGUAGUCCACGCCCUAAACGAUGGGUACUAAGUGUGGGAGGGUUAAACCUCCCGUGCCGCAGCCAACGCAGUAAGUAUCCCGCCUGGGGAGUACGGCCGCAAGGUUGAAACUCA